AAUGAGAUGAUCUCAUUCUAUGUUCAUGAGGAGGCUCGAAUCAAGAAGGAAAAAGAGGCCAAUACCUCACACCUCACCACCAAUGCCCACAAACAACAUCACUUUAAGCCAAGUUCCCAUGUUGUUGCCAAUAAGGACAACACCAAGGCUAAUCCUCCUCCUAAAAGUUAUAACCCUUUAAAUUCCAACAAAACAACCACAUUUAAGUGUUACUUUUGUGACAAGGCAGGCCACCGAAAGAGAGAUUGCACUAGGUAUAAACGUUGGGUACGUAGAACAAAAGGGAACUAAAGGAUUUCUUAAGCCAGAGGAAACCAAGUACAGACCAAGACGAUGUCUUCAUAGGGAAUGGCAAUAAAGUUCCAUUUCAUGCAUUACGAUCAAUUAGGCUUUAACUAGUUUCAGGUUUUUCUUUAGUUUUGAAAGAUAUUGCUAUGUACCUUCUAUGCGAAGGAGUUUGAUUUUAGUUUCUAGAUUAACUGGGGAACAUUUCAUUUUAAUUUUUUCUAAGAUAGGAUUUUAUUUGAUUUUCAGUGAAAGUUCACUAGGCAGUGGCUCUUUGAUUGA